rnacentral:rRNA from 1 species
CCUACGGGCGGCAGCAGUGGGGAAUAUUGGGCAAUGGGCGCAAGCCUGACCCAGCAACGCCGCGUGAAGGAAGAAGGCUUUCGGGUUGUAAACCUCUUUUGACAGGGAAGAGCAGAAGACGGUACCUGUCGAAUAAGCCACGUCUAACUACGUGCCAGCAGCCGCGGUAAUACGUAGGGGGCAAGCGUUGUCCGGAUUUACUGGGUGUAAAGGGCGUGUAGGCGGGCUGACAAGUCAGAUGUGAACUCCGGGGGCUCAACCCACGAACUGCAUUUGAAACUGUUGGGCUUGAGUAUCGGAGAGGCAGGCGGAAUUCCUAGUGUAGCGGUGAAAUGCGUAGAUAUUAGGAGGAACACCAGUGGCGAAGGCGAGUUGCUGGACUGUAACUGACGCUGAGGCACGAAAGCGUGGGGAGCAAACAGGAUUAGAUACCCGAGUAGUC